CUAAGGUGCCUCGGUCGCUGCAAUGUCAGCGAUUGGGUUUAGUAGCCCAGGUA
rnacentral:ncRNA from 1 species